GCUAGGACGAACGCUGGCGGCGUGCUUAACACACGCAAGUCGAACGAGGAUUACAUUGGAAGGGCUUCGGCCUGGAAGAUGUAAUUCGAGUGGCGGACGGGUGAGUAACGCGUGAACAAUCUGUCCCGGACAGGGGAAUAACACUUGGAAACAGGUGCUAAUACCGCAUAAGACCACGCCCUCGCAUGGGGGAGGGGUAAAAGGAGCAAUCCGGUUCGGGGUGAGUUCGCGUCCGAUUAGAUAGUUGGUGAGGUAACGGCCCACCAAGUCGACGAUCGGUAGCCGACCUGAGAGGGUGAUCGGCCACAUUGGAACUGAGAGACGGUCCAAACUCCUACGGGAGGCAGCAGUGGGGAAUAUUGGGCAAUGGGCGAAAGCCCUGACCCAGCAACGCCGCGUGAGUGAAGAAGGCUUUCGGGUUGUAAAGCUCUGUUAUAGGGGACGAAGGAAGUGACGGUACCCUAUAAGGAAGCCCCGGCUAACUACGUGCCAGCAGCUGC
rnacentral:rRNA from 1 species